AUUGCUCCCAGCGCCAAGCUCUGUGUCGCCGCCGUCGCCUAGGCGGUUGGGGGUCGGUGGGGCGGCGCGGGCGGGGGUCGCUGCGCGGGGCGGCGAGCCUCUGUUUUGUCUCCUUCUCUCCCUGUGGAGCGGCUCGGGCUGCUGGGGAGGCCCCGGCUCCCUCCGGACGCUCGGCCAACGGCGGCGGCUAGUCCGCGGCCCUGCUGAGAGGGAAAAGGACGCCGCGGUCUUCCCAGGCGUCGCGGAGAGCAGUUCCAAAGAACUACUGGUUCAGAUUUUAGCUCUUCCCAAGUUGUGAAAAUAGUGAAGGAUGCUUAGACUACUUAACAUACAAACUGCUUUCUGGUUAAUCAUCUUUAGAAGACUGGAUUUCUGGAUAUCUACUCCACUCCAUCUCUAUUGACUUUUAAAACAUGAUAAUGCAAACCUAUAACACUGGCAACCAUCAGUGAACCUUUAAUUUCAUUGAUUAAUAGCGUUUGAAGCUUCCUCAGGGAAUAACAAUGACAUCAGCAGUGGUUGACAGUGGAGGUACUAUUUUGGAGCUUUCCAGCAAUGGAGUAGAAAAUCAAGAGGUACAAAGUCCAUUAAGAGAAGCCACAGCUGCAGAACAUACUUUCUUCCCAUCGUCAAUGUCUUAUUUCUUCCCUCAAGAUUCACUUUCUGUAUGAUCACCUCCAGGAAUGACUCACCGAAGACAUUAGGGAUUGGGGAACUGCCAUCCCCUCCUAGAUUACCCAGACCAAAUACUGCUUUUUCCUCAAAUGCUUUCUCCUGCCAUAUAGUUUUGCUCUGUUUUAACCUUAUGAGGGGAGCCACCAAAAACAAUAGGCAGAAUAUCUUUACCUUGUGUGGAUUAAAAGGUAUCAUUAAUAUGGGGAAAAUGAGGACAACAGUUUGUUUCUGGAAUACUCCUUAUAUUUUUCUUCCUUUACAUGGAACUUCAGUGUUCACGGCCAGGAGAACUUAUUAUCGUGGAAGAAAGAAUCUCAUAAAUGAAAUGACUUUACCAAAUUAUUAUUGACUAGUGAUUUAUGUGGUAGUCUUAUAGGGUGAUCACAUUUUAUAAAGGAAGUCAGAAGAAGACUAUAUCCUUAAUGAGCAUGUCAGGUAGUGUGGCCCCAGAGUAGGGCAAACUAUUCUGGGGAGUUUUUUGUUUAUGCUACGUAAGUGGCCACUUAUUUUCAUUCAUUUUUUCCUUUGACUAAUAUUAAUUCACCACUUAACUAUCUAUGAAGUACUUUUCUAGGCACUGGGGAUAAAUAUUUCAGAAAUGUUAUGAAAAAUAAUUCAGGACUGGAGCUGGAUAGAGAAGUUAGUAGGGAGUACUUCAAUUAGGGCAGCCAAGGAAGGCUUCACCAAAGUGGUGACAUUUUAGUUUAGAGCUAAAUGAGGUGAGGGGUGGGGCAAUAUAAAUAUCUAGGGGAAGAGAAUUGCAGGAAGAGAGAAAAGCCACUAAUACUGGAAACAUGGUUUGAUUUUACAAAGGGAGAUUUGAGAAUGGUGGUAUUUGAAAGAUAGAUUUUUGUCUUAGGAGCAGUUUUUCAGGAAUGUUUCAUUCAUAUAUACACACACACACACACACACACACACACACACACACACACACAUAUAUAUAGUAGUAUAUGUAUAAUAGAAUAUAUAUUCUAAAAUGUAGAAUGGGAUGAAAACUGACCUGUCAAAAUUUUGUAAUCAGAGUCCCAGAACCUGAAGAAAAAAUAAAUAUUUAAAAAGUGGUAGGUAUCUGGAGUUUUAUUAUCACUAUUUUUAGGCUUUCUUUGUAAUGUUUCCCCUGAUUAUAAAAGUAAUACAUUUAAUACAAUUAGGAUUAUUCUAUUUCUGAAAAUGAUGUCCCAAAAUAGUAAACUAUAAUGAGUAUAGUUGCAAAAAUUAUUUUUCAAAAUAGUAAUAAAUAUAUAAAAUGUAGUCAUAUAUUUAAAAAUUCAAAGUACCAAAUAUGACUUAAAUAUAUAGGAAUAAUUUAAUACUAAGAGAAGUAUUGGGCCUAGUGUGGUGGCUCAUACCUGUAACCCCUACACUUUGGGAGGCCAAGGCAGGAUGAUCACUUGAGGACAGGAGUUCAAGACCAGCCUAAGCCACCCAGGAGACCCCCAUUUCUAUAUUGGGGAGACUAAGGCAGGUGGAUUUCUUGAGCUCAGGACUUCAAGACCAGCCUGGGCACCAUGGCAAAACCCUGUCUCAAAAUAAAAUAAAAUAAAAUAAAAUAAAUAAAAUAAAAUAAAAUAAAAUAAAAUAAAAUAAAUAUAACAUAAAAUAAAAUAACAUAAAAUAAAACAAUACAAUACAAUACAAUACAAUAAAUACUAGCCAGGCAUGGUAGCAUGCACCUGGAGUCCCAGGUACUUGGGAGGCUGAAGUGGGAGGAUUGCUUGAGCCUGGGAGGUAGAGGUUGCAGUGAGCCAUAAUGGUGCCACUGCACUCCAGCCUGGGUGACAAACAAACAAAAACAAUGAAAACACAAAAAAGCAAAACCAAAAAACUAACAGUCAAAUCUAGCAGUGUAUAAAUGGUAGAAUGCCAUAAUCAAUUUUUUUUUUAAUCCCAGGAAGGUAAGUUUAAUGAAUCAAGUGAUUCACCAUAUCAACAGGAGUGAAAGAGAAAAAUUAGGUGAUUAUAUCAGCAGUUACAGAAAACCCAUUUGCCAAAAAUUAACACCUAUUCAUUAUACAAACUUUCUAAACUAGCAAUAAAGGGCAAUUUUCUCAGCCUGGUAAAGUGAAUCUGUGAAAAACCCACAGCCAACAUCAUACUUAAUGGUUGAGAGCAAGGCAAGGUUGUCUGCCCUAACCACCUUUAUUCAACAUUGCACUGGCAACAUUACUACAAGGCAGCAAGAAAAAUAAAAGACUCACACGUUUGAGAAGUAGUAAAACUGUCUUUAUUUCUAGAUGAUAUAACUGUGUACCUAGAAAUGCCUAAGAAAUCCACACUAUUAGAACUAAUAAAUUUAGAAUAGCCAGAGGAUAUGAGGUGAGUGUAUACAAAGCAAUUAUUUAUAUAUACUAGCAAUAUACAAUUGGAAACUGAAGCAGUACUAUUCAAUAGAGCAUCAAAAAGCAGGUGGGUGCACUGGCACGUGCAUAUAGUCCCAGCUACACUAAAGGCUGAGGUGAGGGGCUUACUUGAGCCCAGGAGUUCAGGUGCAGCUCAGGCAACAUAGUGAACCCCGUAUCUUAAAAAAAAAAAAAAAGGUAGGGAAAAGUUUAAUGAAAUAUAUAAAAGACUUCUAUACAGUGAACUAUAAAUACUGUUGAGACACAUUAAAGACCUGAAUAGAGAGAUGUACCAAGUUUAUGGAUUGGAAGACAUACUGUGGUUAAGAACAGAGUUGAAGGCCUUACACAUCUGAUUUAAAGACUUUCUAUAAAGCUGCACUAAUUGAGGCAGUGUGGUUAUUGGUGUGCCAACAGACAUGUAGAUCAAUGGAACGUUAAAUACAUGUAAAAAUGCUCAAUAUUAUUAACUAUCAGGGAAAUGUAAAUUAAAACCACAAGGCGAUCCUACUAAAUAAACAGAAUGAGGAAAAUUGAUGAGAGUGAUACCACAUGUUGGAAAGGAUAAGGAGCAGCUAAACCUCUCCUUAUCCUUAUUGCUUAUAAGAAUGUAGGCUGGGCGUGGUGGCUCACGCCUGUAAUCCCAGCAUUUUCGGAAGCCGAGGCGGGCGGAUCACGAGGUCAGGAGAUUGAGAACAUCCUGGCUAUCGCAGUGAAACCCCGUCUGUACUAAAAAUACAAAAAAUUAGCCGGGCAUGGUGGCGGGUGCCUGUAGUCCCAGCUACUUGGGAGGGUGAGGCAGGAGUGGAGUGAACCCGGGAGGCUGAGCUUGCAGUGAGCCGAGAUUGGGGGAGGCGGAGCUUACAGUGAGCAGAGAUUGCGCCACUGCACUCCAGCCUGGGGACAGAGCAAGACUUCGUCUCUCCCUCACCCCCACCAAAAAAAAAAAUUACAUAUUUUAUAUAUAUAUAUAUAUAUAUAUAUAUAUAUAUGUAAAGUAAUAUAACCACUUUGGAAAAUUGAGUACUUGCAAAAUUAAAUGUACAAUUGCCAUGUGAUCUGAUAAUUUGACUCUUAGGUAAAUAUGUAAUGGAACGGAAAGGAAGGGGAGGAAAGACCAGGAUGUUCAUAGGAGCAUUACCGCCAUAUGAAGACAGGCAAAUGGAUAAGCAAUUGACAUAUCUACAAUAGAAUUUUCAGCAAUGAAGGGAGAUGAAGUAUUGAUACAUGCAGCAAUAUGUAUAAAUAUCAGCAGUAAAGAAGUUGGACACAAAAGAGAACUGUUGAUUUCAAUGUAAAAUUUGAGAAAAGGCAGAUCUAUAGGGAUAGAAAUCUAUAGGGAUAGAUCAGUGGUUGCCUAGGUCUGCGUGUAUGUGUGUGUGUGCAUGCACAUGUGGUGGGGAUUGACGGGUAAAGUUAGGUAUGAGGGAACUUUCUGGGGUGAUGGAAAUGUUCUAUUUCUUGACUGUGAUGGUAGUUACAGGGAUGUUUACAUUUGUGAAAAUUCAUAAGAAAAAUAAAAAGAUUUUCAUCUGGUGAGGCAUAUUCUUCCACAAGUUUUAUAUUUUGCAAAUGGAUUCCUUUUUAAAGUUGUCAAAUUACCUGUUACUGGCUUUAUUUAUUUUAUUUUUUUGGUUUUUGUACCAAUUGUUAUUUUUAAAUGAAAAAAGUAUUUUGAUAUUUCUUAAUUACCAGGAUCAUUGUAAAAAACAAUAAACUCAGACAUACUGAGAAAAUGAAAAUCCAUCUUUUGUCUGCUCACCUCUCUUUCACCAGGUUAAUAAUUUGAGGUGUAUUUUUUCCAGACUUUUAAAUGUAUAUGCUAAAUAAAUAUAUAAAUGGAAUCAGACAACAGUACUAUUCUAUGGCUCAUUUUCCUCCUCCUUCCACCCCCUCUUGUUUGUAUCAUGGAUAUUUUUCCAUGCCAGUAUAUAGCUCUAACUGCCUUAAUUGCUUAAUUGAUAUUGAAUAGUCUCUCAUUGUAUGGAUGUUUG
rnacentral:lncRNA from 1 species